UACGGGGGGGGCAAGCGUUGUUCGGAAUUACUGGGCGUAAAGGGCUCGUAGGCGGCCAACUAAGUCAGACGUGAAAUCCCUCGGCUUAACCGGGGAACUGCAUCUGAUACUGGAUGGCUUGAGAUUGGGAGAGGGAUGCGGAAUUCCAGGUGUAGCGGUGAAAUGCGCAGAUAUCAGGAAGAACACCCGUGGCGAAGGCGGCUCUCUGGGACGGUACUGACGCUGAGACGCGAAAGCGUGGGGAGCGAACAGG
rnacentral:rRNA from 1 species